GCUUCAGCAUCUCGGCGCACGGCAAGGAGCUCUUCGUCAACGCCGACCUGCUCAUCGUGGCCGGGCGCCGCUACGGCCUCGUGGGGCCCAACGGGAAGGGCAAGACGACGCUGCUCAAGCACAUCGCCAA